UCCCUGAUAGCUCAGCUGGUAAAGAACCUGCCUGCAAAGCAGGAGACCAUGGUUCAAUUCCUGGGUUGGGAA
rfam:Ovis aries breed Texel chromosome 6, whole genome shotgun sequence.